AUUGAACGCUGGCGGCAGGCUUAACACAUGCAAGUCGAGCGGAGAGAGGUAGCUUGCGACUGAUCUUAGCGGCGGACGGGUGCGUAAUGCUUAGGAAUCUGCCUAUUAGUGGGGUACAACAUUUCGAAAGAAAUGCUACUACCGCAUACGUCCUACGGGAGAAAGCAGGGAAUCUUCGGACCUUGCGCUAAUAGAUGAGCCUCAGUAGGAUGAUCUAGUUGGUGGGGUAAAGGCCUACCAAGGCGACGAUCUGUAGCGGUUCUGAGAGGAUGAUCCGCAACACUGGGACUGAGACACGGCCCAGACUCCUACGGGAGGCAGCAGUGGGGAAUAUGGGACAAUGGGCGCAAGCCUGAUCCAGCCAUGCUGCGUGUGUGAAGAAGGCCUUAUGGUUGUAAAGCACUUUAAGCGAGGAGGAGGCUACUUUAGAUAAUACCUAGAGAUAGUGGACGUGCCUCGCAGAAUAAGCACCGGCUAACUCUGUGCCAGCCGCCGCAGUAACAC
rnacentral:rRNA from 1 species